GACGUAGGAGGCGAGCGUUAUCCGGAUUCACUGGGCGUAAAGCGCAUGUAGGCGGUUGCACAAGUCCGUUGUUAAAGCCCCUGGCUCAACUGGGGGAGGUCAAUGGAGACUGUGCGACUUGAGGGCAAUAGAGGCACGUGGAACUCCCGGUGUAGCGGUGGAAUGCGUAGAGAUCGGGAAGAACACCAGUGGCGAAGGCGACGUGCUGGGUUGCACCUGACGCUGAGGUGCGAGAGCGUGGGGAGCGAACCGG
rnacentral:rRNA from 1 species